rnacentral:rRNA from 1 species
CGGAGGGAUCAUUAAAGAGUUCUAUAACUCCCAAACCCAUGUGAACAUACCUAACGUUGCCUCGGCAGGUCGCACCUACCUUGUAGCACCCUACCCUGUAGGGCCUACCCGGGAGGUGCGGGUAAGCCUGCCGGCGGCCCACCAAACUCUGUUUGAUAUUGAAUUCUGAACCUAUAACUAAAUAAGUUAAAACUUUCAACAACGGAUCUCUUGGUUCUGGCAUCGAUGAAGAACGCAGCGAAAUGCGAUAAGUAAUGUGAAUUGCAGAAUUCAGUGAAUCAUCGAAUCUUUGAACGCAUAUUGCGCCCAUUAGUAUUCUAGUGGGCAGGACCGUUCGAGCGUCAUUUCAACCCUUAAGCCUUCGUUGCUUAGUGUUGGGAGCCUACGGCAACGUAGCUCCUCAAAGUUAGUGGCGGAGUUGGUUCACACUCUAGACGUAGUAAUUUUUUAUCUCGCCUAUUAGUUGGACUAAUCCCCUGCCGUAAAACCCCCAAUUUAUCAAGGUUGACCUCGAAUCGGUUCAGACAAACUCGCUAAAUUGAAGCAUCUUAGUCAGCGAAGGAAAAGAAACCAACAGGGAUUGCCCUAGUAACGGCGAGUGAAGCGGCAACAGCUCAAAUUUGAAAUCUGGCCCUCGGGUCCGAGUUG